AUUUACUCCUAAACUUCCUGAUUCUGAGUCACUCUACAACUUUGUGUGGUCCAUGAUCUGAGUGCUCAUCAGAAGCGCCUUGAUGCAGCAUUAAGCAACAAAAAAAGAAAGAACACGCUCCUUUCUUUGCUCUAGAAUUUCCUUCCAACCACUGCCCUACAUUCUUAAAAUUUGGUGCACAUGGACAGGCAAUGGCAGCUUAGCCACAACUGCUGCCUGGUUGACAGCAAUUGUGAAGCACUACUCAAUUUAUAAAUAUUAAAAAUGCACUUCUGGGAUGAAUGAAUAUGUCGUAUUGCAAAUUGUCCAUCACAAAGAUUUUACCAAUUUGUACUCUCACCAGCAGCACAAGUGCUACUCAUAUCCUUUAAUUCUUAGUGAAUAUGGUGGGAUCCUUAAAAUAAAAACACCUUUACCAAUUUGAUAGGUGAAAAGUGAUAUCUCAUUUUAACUUACACUUAUUGUUAGACUAGCUGAAAUUUAUUUUUAUAUAUUUCUGGUCACUUGAGUUUUUUCUCCUGCCAAUUGUACAUAUAGUUGGUUAAUUUUUCUGUUUUGAUGUUAAUCUUAACUCUUAAGAGUUCCUUCAUGAUUCCCAGUUAGUAAUGUAGGAAGCCAGUUAGUUAAUCUUUCAUCUAUAAUAUGUUACAAAUAAUUUUCUAUCCUAGUUUAGUUUAAUUUUUACUGCAAUUUUUAGGAUUAUUUUUGUAUUUAUGUAUAUAUAUAUGUAGUUAAUAUUUUUCUUUAUGAUUUCUU
rnacentral:lncRNA from 1 species